AGUUCUAAAGGCGUUGGUGACAAGAUAUCCUGAAUCUCUUCUUUGAUCCUCCGUGACUCCCAGGUCUUCUCGGACAUGCGGAAGGGUGACGGUUUCUCCUGCCAUCUGCAGCAGAUGUAUGGCUUCACUCAGUGGUUUACCCUUCAGACUCACACUGUUGAUGGCCAAAAUUCGAUCCCCGAUAUGAAUGGCUCCAGUCCUGUGUGAAGAUAAACCCAUGACACAAUGACAAAGGAUCUGGACAGCGUCCUCCAUGGAGCAGUUCUCCAGACGGAUGUUAUCUAUGGCUAACAGCUUGUCUCCUGGCUCCAGAGUUCCUGUUCUGCAAAAAGUAACCAUGAAAUGAGCUUCAGGCCCAUGAAUAAACAC